UCUUCUUCUUCUUCUUCUUCUUUUCCUUCGUCCUCUUCUCCAAUGGAGUCUUCUCCAGACGACAUCGCCGACGACCUGCAAAGCCUCAGCUUCAACUCUACUAACACCAACCGCAGCACCAGCUCCGGCUCUGAGACCACUCUCACCGCCUCCUCUUCCUCCCUUAACAUCCCUUCCAUUCUCAGUAAACCUCACGCGCCUUCCUCCGACCCUUGCUGGUCCGCUGUUAACCGGAUCCGAUCCGAAUCUUCGUUUCGCCAACUCGCCUUCUCUGACCUUAAGUUCUUCCACCGCCUCGGCUCCGGUGACAUUGGCUCCGUCUACCUCUCCGGUCUCAAGUCCGCUGGAACUGAUGGAUGCUUGUUUGCGGCGAAGGUAAUGGAUAAGAAGGAACUGGCGAGUCGGAGUAAAGAAGGAAGAGCGAGGACUGAGAGGGAGAUUUUGGAGUCUUUGGACCAUCCAUUUCUACCGACGCUUUAUGCUAGUAUCGACUCACCGAAGUGGCUCUGUCUCUUGACGGAGUUUUGUCCCGGCGGCGACCUCCAUGUUCUCCGACAACGGCAACCUAACAAACGAUUCGAUGAACUCGCCGUGAGAUUCUAUGCAUCGGAGAUAGUGGUUGCUAUCGAAUACCUUCACAUGAUGGGGAUCGUUUACCGCGAUCUGAAGCCGGAAAAUGUACUGGUACGAUCGGACGGCCAUAUCAUGCUCACUGAUUUUGAUCUCUCUUUGAAGUGCGAGGAUUCAACGGCGACCCCACAGGUUAUCAAUGCUAAAAAUCCGAUGAAUGGCACCGCCCCGUUAAAGGACUAUCAAAUUGAUGCCCCUCCUUUCACAUCAUCCUCGUGCAUACUUCCAAACUGUAUAGUCCCCGCUGUGUCAUGUUUCAACCCAAAACGCAAGCGAAAGAAGAAGUCUGGACAUCGGAAUGGACCCGAGUUUGUCGCUGAACCAGUUGACGUCCGGUCAAUGUCAUUUGUCGGUACCCACGAGUACUUGGCACCGGAGAUUGUCUCAGGUGAGGGUCAUGGAAGCGCAGUGGACUGGUGGACUUUAGGGGUGUUUGUGUUUGAGUUGUUUUAUGGAGUGACACCCUUUAGAGGCAUGGACAAUGAGCUGACCUUGGCCAAUAUAGUUGCUAGAGCUCUUGAGUUCCCUAAGGAACCAGCAGUGCCAACAGCAGCUAAGGACCUCAUCUCUCAGUUAUUGAUCAAAGACCCGUCGAGACGGCUGGGAUCAACGACAGGGUCAUCGGCGAUCAAGCACCAUUCAUUUUUUCAAGGGGUAAAUUGGGCAUUAUUGAGAUGCACGUCGCCACCAUUUACUCCUCCACCUUUUAGUAGAGAGAAAAUUGCAUCGGAUGAAAGCUGCACAGAAGCUCCAGUGGAGUAUUAUUAGUGGCUAAAGAAUGAAGAUUCUCUCUACAAACAAACAAUUCUCAUCCUUUCAACUAAGUUACGAACAUACAGUUGGUCUCGUCUCUCCAUCAAAUUGGUUUCUAAACUUGUAUUGAUUUGGUUGAAGCCGCCUCUUAUUUGUGCUUCCCAUGGUGCACUCGCGUCCAUUCCCUGUCUUGGUGUCAUCAGAGACACGUACAUAAGGCAUACAUCUGAUCUUCUGUUGAGGGAUUGCAAUAGCAAAGUAGCUGGCGAUAGCUGAUAGGUCAUGGACGAAAUAGGUAUUAUCUAAUUUUUGUGUUUAUCCACAUGGGUUGUUUUGUUUAGAAGAUAAAUGUGGGGUUGUGGGCACAAGCACACAAUUGUUUCUGAGCAGUUGUUUUCCUGUAGUUUUGUAAUGCCUUUGCUUUGAUUAUUAGCCUUUGGUUUUUCCCUUUUUGAUUUAUUCAAUAUGUCUGCUUCCCAUUGUCUCAAUUAGCUGCAUGUCUAUCACCUUUCCUAAACUGCAUGCUGCCCCUCUCAUUUUCAUGUCUAAAAGUAAGAGAGAUCAUUUGACAAUUCUGCUAAAAAGUCUUCUCCAUCCGACUUUAAACAAUAUCAUCACAUGGAAAUGAAGAGCAAAAAAGGUAAGAAACUCAGACAGAUCUUCAAGUAGACUGGGUAGAUGUAGAAUCUUGGAUUUCUUAACAGUCCCUCACUCUUUCUUCCAACUAACUCUCUUUCUGUUCUAGGAAUGAAACGGGGACAUGCGGACAAGUAUUGCACCAAAAGCCAUAUAAUUUUCAUCCCAAUAAUUGGAAAAGAUUUUUGGUAUCAUUUGUUUUGGCUUUGAUGUCUUGAUGGCAAAGAAGAGAAUAUCUUAUGAAAAUAGUUGUAAAUUUAGUAAUUAGAUUCAGAAUAAAUUAAAAUGUGAACAAUUUUGUACUGUUCUUUUUAUCAAACGGACCCUGACUUGUAAUUUGUGUAGCUGAGUAUUGUUAUUAGUGUCCUGACAUCAUAUAUUUCUCAUUGGUUUUUCUAA